rnacentral:lncRNA from 12 species
AUGCACAGCGAGCCCUGCUUGCUCCCAGCUGCACUCCCACAGGCUGAGCUGCACAGGUGUGUGCAGCCCUGCUCACUCACAGCUGCACUCCCACAGGCUGAGCUGCACAGGUGUGUGCAGCCCUGCCUGCCCCCAUCCCAGCGAGGGGAGCAGCUGCACAGGUGUGUGCAGCCCUGCCUGCCCCCAUCCCAGCGAGGGGAGCAGCUGCACAGGUGUGUGCAGCCCUGCCUGCCCCCAUCCCAGCGAGGGGAGCAGCUGCACAGGUGUGUGCAGCCCUGCCUGCCCCCAUCCCAGCGAGGGGAGCAGCUGCACAGGUGUGUGCAGCCCUGCCUGCCCCCAUCCCAGCGAGGGGAGCAGCUGCACAGGUGUGUGCAGCCCUGCCUGCCCCCAUCCCAGCGAGGGGAGCAGCUGCACAGGUGUGUGCAGCCCUGCCUGCCCCCAUCCCAGCGAGGGGAGCAGCUGCACAGGUGUGUGCAGCCCUGCCUGCCCCCAUCCCAGCGAGGGGAGCAGCUGCACAGGUGUGUGCAGCCCUGCCUGCCCCCAUCCCAGCGAGGGGAGCAGCUGCACAGGUGUGUACAGCCCUGCCUGCCCCCAUCCCAGCGAGGGGAGCAGCUGCACAGGUGUGUACAGCCCUGCCUGCCCCCAUCCCAGCGAGGGGAGCAGCUGCACAGGUGUGUACAGCCCUGCCUGCCCCCAUCCCAGCGAGGGGAGCAGCUGCACAGGUGUGUACAGCCCUGCCUGCCCCCAUCCCAGCGAGGGGAGCAGCUGCACAGGUGUGUACAGCCCUGCCUGCCCCCAUCCCAGCGAGGGGAGCAGCUGCACAGGUGUGUACAGCCCUGCCUGCCCCCAUCCCAGCGAGGGGAGCAGCUGCACAGGUGUGUACAGCCCUGCCUGCCCCCAUCCCAGCGAGGGGAGCAGCUGCACAGGUGUGAACAGCCCUGCCUGCCCCCAUCCCAGCGAGGGGAGCAGCCUCACCCCACACUCAGAGCCCUGCCACGGGCACCGCCCGGCUCCCACCCCAAACUCUGCUGCAGCCUCCUAUCCCUUCCACAGACACACACAGCACUCUUCCACGCUCGCUGACACGUCAAAAUAAUACAUUGCUAAUGAUAAAAUCAGCAGCCGCAUCUUUUGUUGACUUCCGUAGGAAUUCUGCCGCAGAAAGGAUGGCAGGACAUGACUCCAAGCUCGCUGAGUGACAUCUUAUGUUUUCUAAACCAUCCUCAGAUUUUUCAUAACAUCCAGCAAGCGAGUUGCUGACAGAUCAGGAUGGUUGCCUGUUUGUUGGGCAAGAACACUCUGCGAUUCAGUAGAAUACCAAAUUUGGUAGAAUGUCUUCCACUUUGGUAGAAGAUAUUACAAACAACUGUGCAUUUUAACAUGUUUUCACAUCACACAUCAUUCAUUCUGGGGAGGGGGUGGUGAUCACUCCGUGCAGACAGCCAGCAACGCUUCCAAGAAUGAAAAUGUUCAUCGAAAGAUAAUGAAAAACAGAUAUUUAGUAACAUUUUCAUUUUGCAUGUUUAAAUAUUUAUAACUAUGUUCAUAAAACCACAUGUUUGCUCUCCUAAUGCUCUAGUGAUUUUGUUUAUGAAAUGCAGUAUUUCUCCAAUGCCCCUUCCUUGCGUCAGCCUCUCCAAGGAGCGGGAUUUAGUCCCGUUGCUACACUGACAACCAGCUUUUUUAUGGCAGGCUGGCCGAGAUGAAGAACAGAAAGCUAACAAAAAGAAGAAACAUAUUUUCAGGGCAUUAAUGUUUCACUAAUACGUAUCUGAUUUGCUACUUUGUA